CCAAUAGCGUAUAUUAAAGUUGUUGCAGUUAAAAAGCUCGUAGUUGAAUUUUAGGCCUGACCGGACGGUCCGUCUCUGGCGAGUACUGUUCUGUUGUCGGGUCUAUCCUUCUGGUGAGCCGGUAUGCCCUUUAUUGGGUGUGUCGGGGAACCAGGACCAUUACCUUGAAAAAAUUAGAGUGUUUAAAGCGGGCUCUUGCUUGAAUAGAUUAGCAUGGAAUAAUAGAAUAGGACGUUGGUUCUAUUUUGUUGGUCUAGGACCACCGUAAUGAUUAAUAGGGAUAGUUGGGGGCAUUAGUAUUCAAUUGUCAGAGGUGAAAUUCUUGGAUUUAUUGAAGACUAACUACUGCGAAAGCAUUUGCCAAGGAUGUUUUCAUUAAUCAAGAACGAAAGUUAGGGGAUCGAAGACGAUCAGAUACCGUCGUAGUCUUAACCAUAAACUAUGCCGACUAGGAAUCGGGCGACGUUAUUUUCAUGACUCGCUCGGCGCCUUAUG
rnacentral:rRNA from 1 species